rnacentral:rRNA from 1 species
CACGGGGGGGGGCAAGCGUUAUUCAUCAUGACUAGGCGUAAAGGAUGCGUAGAUGGUUUUGAUUGUUAUUUUUUUCUAAAAGAACAAAAGAUUAUUUUGUAAGUAUUUUAAAAAUAGCAGUAACUUGAGUAAAAUUGAUGUUAAUAGAAUUCUUUGUGUAAUGGUAAUAUAUUACGAUAUUUAGAGGAAUACCAAAGGUGAAGACAAUUUUCAAAAUUUUACUGACGUUGAGGCAUGAAGGCAUUGGGAUCAAACGGG